UUAUUUUCCCCGGAACAGGUCUCCAACGAGCGAAGACUCAGAGAGAAAGAAGAGGGAGGGGAGAGAGAGAGAGAGACAGUUGGCAGAACAGAGACUCGAGGAGAAAGAGAAAGAGAGAAUUUUAGAGAGAGAAAGAGUCGGCAUUAAUGGCGGAAGGGCAAAAACCGCGAAAACAAAGCGAAGAGAGCGUGAAGCUGUUCGUAGGUCAAGUACCGAAGCACAUGACCGAAUCACAACUCCUCGCAAUGUUCGAAGACUUUGCUCUCGUAGACGAAGUCAACAUCAUCAAAGACAAGACUACGCGAGCUUCACGAGGGUGUUGUUUUGUUAUUUGUCCGUCAAGGCAAGAGGCCGACAAGGCAGUGAAUGCAUGUCAUAAUAAGAGAACUCUUCCUGGGGCAUCUAGUCCGUUGCAAGUGAAGUAUGCAGAUGGCGAGUUGGAAAGGCUAGCAUUCUGUGAUCCAGAACACAAACUUUUUGUGGGUAUGCUUCCAAAGAAUGUUUCAGAUGCUGAGCUUUCUGCACUAUUUUCUCAGUAUGGAACUAUUAAAGAGAUACAAAUUCUGAGAGGUUCUCAGCUAACAAGCAAAGGCUGUGCUUUUCUGAAGUAUGAGAUGAAGGAACAAGCUCUUGCAGCCAUAGAGGCACUCAACGGGAAGCAUAAGAUGGAGGGCUCAAGUAUUCCUUUAGUUGUCAAAUGGGCAGAUACAGAGAAAGAAAGGCAAGCUCGCAGGGCUCAGAAAGCUCUAUCACAGUCUUCUAAUGUGCCAAAUGCUGACACUGCACAGCAUCCGUCUUUAUUUGGGUCCUUGCCAAUGGGUUACAUGCCCCCAUAUAAUGGAUAUGGUUAUCAGACUCCUGGAACUUAUGGACUUUAUCGUCUUCCACCAGUGCAGAAUCAACCUGCUUUCCAUAAUGUAUUUCCGCCAGCAAACCAGGGAAAUGUGUUGCGUGGAGUCACACCCGAUCUCUCCCCCGGUAUGGCCCCAAGAAAUUAUGGUAUGCCAUCAGCGAGUUAUGUGGGCACUGCUUAUCCAGCAGUACCAGGGCUUCAGUAUCGUAUGGCAUAUCCUGGGGGAAUGAUGAGUAGCAGGCCUUUGAGUGGCUCUCCUACUUCUGUACCAGCUGCAAUUGUAAACAGUCAGUCUGCAGCAUCUUCAAGUGUCGGUGGAAGUUCUGGGGGUCAGGUUGAAGGUCCACCUGGAGCUAAUUUAUUUAUUUACCACAUUCCUCAAGAAUUUGGUGACCAAGAACUUGCAAAUGCAUUUCAACCAUUUGGAACGGUCUUGAGUGCUAAGGUCUUUGUCGACAAAGCAACAGGUGUUAGCAAAUGCUUUGGGUUUGUUAGUUAUGACUCACCAGCAGCUGCUCAAUCAGCGAUUUAUAAGAUGAAUGGCUGCCAAUUAGGUGGCAAAAAGUUGAAGGUUCAACUUAAAAGAGACAACAAAUAGAACAAAUCUUAUUGAUUCAAAGGUGAGCCCCGUUGGGCUUUUACGGAGCUUGGCCUGCUUUUGCAUUAACUCACAAGGAAACUGAACCCUUCCCACAGAUGGUCACAUGCAAUCUGGAUGUGGGAGUUGCUGCGGUAUCAGCUAUUGUGGGGAUGUUGGCACCAUAACCACCACAAGAAGAGUGAAGAAUUGCAUUGAUCUGGCUGAAAUGAGACUUCAAAUGGACAAGGUGCAGUAUCAUCAGUGUAAUUAACUGUUGUGUUGGUCAUAUUUACAAAUUACCAUGGCAUGUGGACAUUGGCAUGACUGUAGGACAUGGAAGCUCGAAAUACUUAGAUAUGGCAUGAGGCAGUAUUUUUAUCAUUGUAUUAUGAUAUAGGUGACACACACGUUUACAUACCUAUUUUCAAUCUUGGGCAUGUUAGGAGGGGAGGGCGGGAUAGGGUGAGGAAUCAUGGGCAGUAAAGUACAAACAAACAAAUGACAUUGUGAUAUAUUUUGCAACAUAAAGGCAAAGUACACUAAUUUUCUGGUGGAUGUAUGUGGGCUUUUUUAUUCUUUAUUUUUUAACCGAGUUUUCAAAUUGGUGUAGGACUCACUGGCGACACUACAUACAAUGGGAUGGGGUCAAGUGACCCCACUAGACUUAGAAAAUUCACUAAUAUUUUUUUAACAUAUACAUAUUUAUUUUUAAAUUGACCCCUCUUGGUGGUUGAAAUUAAACCCACUAAAUUUUUUUGAAAGCAAUGUUCGGGUCAAAGUAUAAAUAAACAAGGAGUAAAUCUUUAUAAGUGUGUUAGUUAUUUUAUUUUGUUCCUUGUCACAUUAGCGUCGUCUAGUCGAGGCAGAUAUAAAAAUUAAAAAAAUUGAUAUAAAAUUAAAAAAAGUUCAGUUAGUGUUAUGUUGAAAAGUCUCAUAGUCACACACCAAUUUUUUAUGGGGAGUUUUCUGGAUGUCCUAGGUGAACUGUUGUGAUAAUCUUUCAGCAAAAAAAGGUAUUUUAUCAGUUGUGAUGGAGUAUGUCCAUUCAUUCUUUGAUUUCCUUCAACCUUGUGGACCUCUAGAUGGACGUUAGGUCAUCCUUUUACUUGAAAGGAUCACUGAGCAGAGCUGUUCAUCUUCCACUAAGUAUUUUGGUGAUCAAGUUGGUAAUUUGGAUUUGGUAUAAGCCUUCAUUAUGCUUAGAUUGGAAGGUAAAUUUUUUUUACUCAUCACUUUACCCAAGCAUUUUGCUACAAAAAUUUAAACACAUUGAAUUCAUGUUCGUAUUCACCCUGAUUAAGGAUUUUUUGCUGGCUGGAAUAUUUCCGUCAUGAAAGUCAUAGAUUGUACCUAUUUGUAAGAAGAAAAACUAAAGAGGAAAAACAAACCAAAAAAAAGGAAAGAAUCUCAAACAGAUUGUAAACAACUUGGAAUCAGGUAUUUUAAUUCUCUCAUAAUUUUUCUUAUGAGCAAUUCUAUACAUAAUCCCAUUUCUUAUCUCAUUUCCUCGACCCUAGACACACAGCAAUGGGGCCCAGAUUCAUAAAUGCAUAGGAGACCCACUCACUUGGGAGUGAGAAAAUGAGAUAAGAAACAGGAUAUGCAACAUUUUCCUUUUAUUAUCUCAAAUUCUUUUAGUUGUAUCUUACUUUUUC